UUUGCAGUGUAAAACAAUCUUUGUAGAUGUCGCUGGCAGUAUGCUUAUGCCACCAGUUUAGUCAGUUGUUUUGAAAAGUAGUGAGUAACACAAACCAUAACUUAAGUUAUUGUUUUUUAUACUACGUAUAUUAAUUCAUGAAUUGCAAACCUCCUAAAGAAGAACUCAAGUACCUACAAAUUAUAUGAAUAGUAAGUGUAUCCUCAAAGGCUUUCCACCUUCAGAAUAAGAAUCUUCUGUAACUUUUCAUGAUUCCAAAAACGGAUGUGCUUUUUCCGCAGACCAGAAGUUGAUGAGCAGCAUUUAACAAUUGGUGAGUCAACAAAGUCCUUAUUCAUUCAAAAAUUGACGCUUUGACGUCAGUGUUUGUCAAGUCUAAAUAUUUUCGAACCGUUAAUAAGAACGGUAUGCUCGGACAAUUCGAAAGCGCUCCAUUGUAUAUUAGUGUGUUAAGAGCUUUCAUUGUACUAUUAUGUCUUCUGCUCAAAUAGUUUCGUAUGUACACACGCAAGCACCAGGUAAAUGGAUCCCUUUUGGCCUUAUUUGUUAUUCAAACACUUGUUGUGAAGGUUGCCAUUGUUGCUUCCUUUCACCGCACGCAUACAUUUUUCUAAAUUAAAGAGGAUGCCAUAAUAAAAAUAAUCUUAUAAACACUAAUGAAUCUUCUGAAGAAGUUGGGUACAUGGAAAUAUUGCAGUUAAGUUGCUGGGACGUGACCAGUGUUAUCUUUGCAUAUUUCACCGUUGAUGAGGAUAACGUGGGUAGAAAAGGUUAGA